rnacentral:rRNA from 1 species
UACGACUACAUAUCAGGCAUAUCAAUAAGCGGAGGAAAAGAAACUAACAGGGAUUCCCUUAGUAACGGCGAGUGAAGCGGGAAGAGCUCAAAUUUGAAAUCUUCAAGGUUCUACCUUGACGAAUUGUAGUUUAAAGAAGUGUUUUCUGUUAGAUGAGUAGCAAAAGUUCCUUGGAAUGGGACAUCAUAGAGGGUGAGAAUCCCGUAUUUGGUUAUUCAUUCUAGCUUUGUGAUACACUUUCAAAGAGUCGGAUUGUUUGGGAAUGCAGUCCAAAAUGGGUGGUAAAUUUCAUCUAAAGCUAAAUAUUGGCGAGAGACCGAUAGCGAACAAGUACCGUGAGGGAAAGAUGAAAAGAACUUUGAAAAGAGAGUUAAACAGUACGUGAAAUUGUCAAAAGGGAAGCGUUUGACACCAGUGUUGUUUUUCCGAAAAUCAAUUACGAAUGGCUUGAUUUUGUGUUGUAUUGACCUUAUCAGCUUUCUGCACUUUUUUCGAGUCUUUCUUAAUGCACUUUUCGGUUAACAAGUCAACAUCAAUUUCUUUUGUUGUAAAAGAGUAUUCGGAAGGUGGCUUUCUUUUCGGAGAAAGUGUUUAUAGCCCUAUACUUCUACAAUCGGAGAGAUUGAGGUCUGCAGCGUAGAUCCUUCGGGGUUAGAUACACUUGUGCUAAGUUGUAGCUUUUCAUAGACAACUUGUUGACUAUGUUUAGUCAUGCGGCUUACUCGCUUAUGCUAUUUUACCUACGCUUAGGAUGUUGAGUAGCGACAUACGCAC